rnacentral:rRNA from 1 species
UACGUAGGUGGCAAGCGUUGUCCGGAUUUACUGGGCGUAAAGAGCGCGCAGGCGGUCGUUCAAGUCGCGUGUGAAAGCCCCCGGCUCAACUGGGGAGGGUCACGCGAUACUGAUCGACUCGAAGGCAGGAGAGGGUAGUGGAAUUCCCGGUGUAGUGGUGAAAUUCGUAGAUAUUCGGAAGAACACCAGUGGCGAAGGCGACUCACUGGACAUCUGUUGACGCUGAGGUGCGAAAGCGUGGGGAGCAAGCAGG